rnacentral:rRNA from 1 species
UGGGGAAUAUUGGACAAUGGAGGGAACUCUGAUCCAGCAAUUCUGUGUGUGUGAAGAAGGUUUUAGGACUGUAAAACACUUUUAGUAGGGAAGAAAAAAAUGACGGUACCUACAGAAGAAGCAACGGCUAAAUACGUGCCAGCAGCCGCGGUAAUACGUAUGUUGCGAGCGUUAUCCGGAAUUAUUGGGCUUAAAGGGCAUCUAGGCGGUAAGACAAGUUGAAGGUGAAAACCUGUGGCUCAACCAUAGGCUUGCCUACAAAACUGUUGAACUAGAGUACUGGAAAGGUGGGUGGAACUACACGAGUAGAGGUGAAAUUCGUAGAUAUGUGUAGGAAUGCCGAUGAUGAAGAUAACUCGCUGGACAGAAACUGACGCUGAAGUGCGAAAGCUAGGGGAGCAAACAGG